rnacentral:rRNA from 1 species
CGUGUAGGCGGGUCGUUAAGUCAGGGGUGAAAUGCCAAGGCUCAACCUUGGAACUGCCUUUGAUACUGAGGAUCUUGAGUCCGGGAGAGGUGAGUGGAACUGCGAGUGUAGAGGUGAAAUUCGUAGAUAUUCGCAAGAACACCAGUGGCGAAGGCGGCUCACUGGCCCGGAACUGACGCUGAGACGCGAAAGCGUGGGGAGCAAACAGGAUUAGAUACCCUGGUAGUCCACGCUGUAAACGAUGGAUGCUAGCCGUUGGGGAGCUUGCUCUUCAGUGGCGCAGCCAACGCUUUAAGCAUCCCGCCUGGGGAGUACGGUCGCAAGAUUAAA